UACGUAUGGUGCAAGCGUUAUCCGGAUUUAUUGGGUUUAAAGGGUGCGUAGGCGGAAUAUCAAGUCAGCGGUAAAAAUUCGGGGCUCAACCCCGUCGUGCCGUUGAAACUGAUGUUCUUGAGUGGGCGAGAAGUGUGCGGAAUGCGUGGUGUAGCGGUGAAAUGCAUAGAUAUCACGCAGAACUCCGAUUGCGAAGGCAGCAUACCGGCGCCCAACUGACGCUGAAGCACGAAAGCGUGGGUAUCGAACAGG
rnacentral:rRNA from 1 species